AUUCACUUUAGAGGAACUGAUAACGCCCUGACCUUGAGGCAAGCAUUGUAUUUGGGGUCCAGUCACAUGGGAUAAGUUUUCUGUACUUUUUUCAGAGGUCUUACAAGAAUGAGCUGAAGCUUAGCAUUUGUGGGAGCAGACAUCACUUAAAGCUGCACCUCUCAGGACAAGGUCUGGAGCCACGGUUGGAGUUCACCCCCCCAGCACUAAAGAUGGGAUGGGUGCUGGUGAACAGCAAGGGGUUGGAGGCCACAGUGGUGGUGAAGAACCCAUGUAACUUCCCUGUUGAGUUUUACUCACUGGAUUUCGAUGAGCAGUACCUUGAGGAAGAGAAGAUGCUGAGGAUGGCAGUGGGGUCUGAGUACCAAAAGAACUUUCUAAUGCCUCCACGUGCUGUGGGUGGGACGCUGCCCCCAGAGGUGCUGGAGAAUUAUGAAGCACAGAAGAGGCUGAAGGCUCAACGGGCAGAGCUCAAGGCCAUGGCAGAGGCCAAGGCCACGGCUGCAGCUGAGGCUGAGGCUGAGGCUGAGGCCAUGGACAAAGCAGCACCAGGUCAGAAAAGCACUGAGGGUUUGGUGUCUUGCCUGUGGUCAGAGCAGGGAGUCCAGCCCAUACACCCAGAACUCUCUGUCACCUUGUUCUCCAGGGAAAGCCCAUGCUUUUAGCAGCUGCCUGUUCCCCAGCUUGGUGGAGGAACUCUUGGGUGAAGGGCUGUGGCAUCCUCUAUGAACCCUGAGAGUAGCCAAAGCAAGC
rnacentral:lncRNA from 12 species